rnacentral:misc_RNA from 1 species
CUGGGACUCAGGUUGGACGCUUCGGCGCCCGCCCCCACCCUUUGCCUAGCCUCUAGACAACACAAACCCGUCGGCCUUAGGCGCGCCCGCCUGACAGCGCGGUGCGCCGGCCGGACAUCAAACCCUGAACAACAUUGCAGCCUGAAGUUAAAAGCAAAUAGUUA